rnacentral:lncRNA from 1 species
CCGAGAUCUGUGAACCCCGCCCGCCCCCCCGUGGGGCCUGCCACAACCCAGGCCCUCCUCCCUUUGCGGGCUGGUAGAGCAGGGCUGACCUCGCAGUUCACACUUUCCCUUUUGCUUUGCGUACAGCCAGGCGGGACGGACAGAAAGGCCUGGAACACACUGAGAAUGUCAAAUAAGGAACACUUAGCCGGUGGCAGGGUUUGAACCCGAAGUGUCGCAGACCGUGGUGUGAUGGGGACGGCCAAAGUCCAGCGUUAGGCCCCUUGUAUUUCUACCACCUCUCCCGGUACCCACUUGGUAUGUGAAGAUGUCGUUCUGCUUGAAGCAUAAACAGUGAAAACUGGGAAGUCCUUGGUCCUGACUUAGCAAGCACCAGGCCCACGGUGUGUCACUUGAGAGGGACUAUGCCUUUUCACGGGGACAGAAAAGAGAGUCAAAGAAUUUUGAAAGAAAUGUUUGGCAGAGUUCAAUUUUUAUUGGAAAUUAAACUGACGCUGCUUCAAUUUUCCGAGGAUUUUUAUUUCACGGACAGUGUAUCACUGAGUGCCCUGGACUGGCAUGAUUGUCAAAAGAAGGUCAGCUGUUGCUCCCAUAAGGGAGAGAGCAGGGCAAAGGGCAGAAGGAAAGAAGAAUGUCAAGCAGACUCCCUGCUGAGCACACAGCCUGAUGUGGAGCUCAAUCCCAUGCCCCCAGGAUCAUGACUCGAGGAAAAAUCAAGAGUCAGUCACUCAACAGACUGAGCGACCCAGGCGCAUGACAUGAUUGAUGAGAAGGACACUUCACCUCUAUUGGUGGCCUUUCCCAAAGCUCCUAAACCCAAAUCAAACCUGAGCAAAAAACAUCAGAAAUCCAGAUUGAAGGGCAUGCUAUCACAUUCCACAGGAUAUCUGGCUGAGGACGUGAAAAAAAGCAAGAACUUAGAAACGGUAAAACAGACCAGCAGAUACCGGGGUGCCCUGGACUGGAUCCUGAAACAGAAAGUGGAGGUUACUGGAAAAAGUGGUGAAAUCCGAAUAAAGUCUGGAUUUUAAUUAAUAGUAAUACGCUGGGGCGCCUGGGUGGUUCAGUGGACUAAAGCCUUUGCCUUCGGCUCAGGUCAUGAUCCCAGGGUCCUGGGAUUGAGCCCGGCAUUGUGCUCUCUGUUCAGCAGGGAACCUGCUUCCCCCCCACCUCUCUCUGCCUGCCUCUCUGCCUAUUUGUGAUCUCUG